CAACACUUGCUGUCACUAUGAAGCCCAAAUACUAAAGAAAAAUUUGCUUCUUUUUUUUUUUCAUCAAAACCUACCAACCCUAACCCCUAAAUUCUCUCUAUCUACUCCUAUACAUGCCUUGCUGCCAAAGUUCUCUAAUCCCAAAUGAUGUUCAGACAUGAAACUCUAGGACCCAUUUCAGCUGUAUGUUUCUAUGUACAUUCAAUGUAUCUCAUAACAGGUUUCUAGAUCUGUAUAGCUGCUGAUCAUGGAUCAGUCCUUUUUCUCAAAUCUUGAAUUGAUGGUGUAGAUUGAGUUUUGUAGAUCUGUAGAUGUAGAAUUGCUGCUUGGGCGUGUUUAAUUUCAUCAUUUGGAAGGACAUUUUGGUGGGUUUCUCUUAUCUUGUUUGUUGUUCGGUUUAUGACUGCUAGGGUUUCUCUAUUUUAUUCAAGAUUGUAGCUUUUUUUAAUCAAAGAUUUGAUUUUUAUCGUCAAAGAUUGGAUCUUUAGCUUUGCAGAUGGCUGGUUAUCAACAGAAAACUGACUUUGUUUCUGGGGUUUAUCAAGAAAGAGGAUCUGGGUACUAGGUGCUGGAGGAUUUUGGGUUUGGUACAAAAUUCCCAUAAAAAAAUUGGUUCUUGUAAAGGUGAAUUAGGUUGCAUUGGGUGUUGUAUAGUUUAUUAUCUGUUGAGGUUUAGGUGGUAGCAUGUCCUUUAAGAGUAUGAUUCAGGACAUGAAGGAUGAGUUUGGGAGCAUUUCUCGGAAAGGAUUUCGCUCCAGGUCACAUAGGGUGGUUCAGGAUUGUACCGUGACUAUCGAUGCGUUGAGGCAAAGUUGUUGGGCCAACAUGCCGCCUGAGCUAUUGAGAGAUGUGCUGAUGAGGAUUGAGGAGUCGGACUCUGAUUGGCGUCCAAGGAAAAAUGUUGUGGCGUGCGCUGGUGUUUGCAGGAGUUGGAGGGAAAUCAUGAAAGAGAUUGUUAAAACACCUGAAGUUAGCGGAAAAUUGACGUUCCCAAUCUCCUUGAAGCAGCCUGGUCCAAGAGACAAACUUGUUCAAUGUUUCAUCAGAAGGAACCGCAGCUCACAGACAUAUCACCUUUUCCUUAAUUUAAAUGAAGUUGCUAACGAUGACGGUAAGUUCCUUCUUGCUGCUCGGAAGUGUAAAAGGCCAACAUACACAGAUUACAUCAUUUCUUUAAAUGCCGAAGUUGCUUCCAGGGGUAGCAGCACCUACAUUGGGAAGCUGAGAUCCAACUUCUUGGGGACCAAGUUCACUGUCUAUGAUGCACAACCAUCUAAUGCAGGAGCUAAAGUCAGUAAAUGUCGCUCUACUAGGUUUGUUGGGAUGAAACAAGUCUCUCCAAGAAUACCCACUGGCAACUAUCCUGUAGCUCACAUCUCGUAUGAGUUGAAUGUCCUGGGGGCUAGGGGGCCCAGGAGGAUGCUGUGUAUCAUGGACGCAAUUCCAGCUUCUUCUAUUGAACCUGGGGGUUUAGCCCCUACGCAAACAGAAUUUGUUCCAGUGAAUGUAGAUUCCUUCCCCUCCCUCCACUUUUUUAGAUCAAAAUCAACUCGCGUGGAUAAUUUCUCAUCCGGGCCUUUACCAAGUCCAAAAGAUGAAGUUCUAACUUUGAAGAACAAAGCUCCUAGGUGGCAUGAACAACUCCAAUGCUGGUGUCUUAACUUCAAUGGCCGGGUGACAGUCGCUUCUGUAAAAAACUUUCAGCUAGUUGCUUCUCUUGGGGAUGGAGCUGGACAGGAAAAUGAGAAUGUUAUUCUCCAAUUUGGGAAAGUGGGAGAGGAUUUGUUCACCAUGGACUAUCAGUAUCCUAUCUCUGCAUUUCAGGCAUUUGCUAUCUGCCUCAGUAGCUUUGACACCAAAAUCGCCUGCGAAUGAUGAGAUAAACAGGUGCUUCUGCUGUAACCUUCUCCUCGAAAAAAAACAUCAUUUGAUGUUCUGCAAGAAGUACUGAGGUGUUUGGAUUGGGAGAUUGCACUAACCCUAUUUACGUUGGUUACUGAACUAACGCUCAGUUAAAUUGCAGUAGGUAUGUUUGUUGUUGAGGAUUAAUCACCCGUUCUUCAUGCUCUCGGACCUUCCGUUUCUUGGUUUUUUGUAAAUAGACAAGGAUGUUUUUACAGUUUGGUUCAUCCAACUUUUCUAUUUCUAUUAGCACAAUGUUCAUCCAACUUUUCUAUUUCUAUUAGCACAAUGUUGAACUGUAAUACAUAUAUCUCCUGUGUGAGAUGUACUUAAAUUUCUGAAGUUUUAUGUUCUUUCUCAUAUAGUUGAGAACUAUA